rnacentral:rRNA from 1 species
UACGGGGGGUGCGAGCGUUAUCCGGAAUCACUGGGCGUAAAGCGUGCGUAGGUGGCGUGUUAAGUGAGAUGUUAAAUCGUGUGGCUCAACCAUAUCGAUGCAUCUCAUACUGGCAUGCUAGAGGACGGCAGAGGCAAGUGGAAUUGGUAGUGUAGCAGUGAAAUGCGUAGAUAUUACCAGGAACACCAAUGGCGAAGGCAGCUUGCUGGGCCACUCCUGACACUGGAGGUACGAAAGCGUGGGGAGCGAACAGG